UACAACACACACAGGGGAACGCCACGGUCU
rnacentral:piRNA from 1 species